GAGCUUUUAAAUGAACGAAUCAAACUAACUAGCUCCUUUCACUGGGCGUCUCGGACAGUCUCCGAUUCCCGUCCUCGCCGCCGGUGAAGGGAAGUUCUGACUUCAGAGUCUUCAGUCCUCUUGACUGCACGGACACAGUGUUCAAGACAGGGAGAAAGGCGAGCGUCUUCGAGAGGAGAAGAAGAAGAAGAAGAAGAAGAAUAACGAUGAGCAUUCGACCACUAGACUCUCUCUCUCCUGUAGAUAUUCUGGAAAUAGAGAACAGCCUCUCUCUAGUGCCUCGCCUGAAGCUCCUCCUCACCAUCUUCCGGGCUGAUCCCUCCGUCAAACCCACAGACGAGUGGCAGCUCAAGCGCUCCUUGAUUGACUUCCUUAAGACCUCCUUCUCCUUCCCCAUCUCCGUCCCCGAGGAUGACCUCCGUAUCAAACGCUUCAAAGACCUCAAGAAGCGCAAGCGCGACGACCCCGUCGCUCACGGCGUUCUCUUCAUUCGCGAUCUAGGGUUUCUCUCUGCGAGCAAUGCGAAAGAUGGGAAGAAUGGCGGGGAAGUUGAUGUUAAGGUUUUGGAGAAGAAGUUCUUCGAUUGGAGGAGAUCACUUGUUGAUAAGAUGGAUGGGAUGGGGCUGAAUCUCGAAGGCGUUAAGUUCAGACUCAGCGUUGUUGUGCCGUCGUUCGACGAUUUUGAUGGAACGAGGAAGGAAUGGGAGGAGUUCUAUGCAUUCGGUAAUCGAGGGUAUUCAAGGGGUGGGAGGCAACAGCCUGAUACAAUUGUACUGAGAGGUGUUCCAUCACGAUGGUUUGCAGAACCUCGAGUUUCAUCUAAGCCUUCCCUGUUAGUUACACACACCAUUUUUUCAACAUUUGGGAAGAUAAGGAAUCUUAAUGUUGCUGAGGACGAUGCUCUUGGUAAGAAUGAUGAUGAGGAUGAUGGGGACAUAGUUUCAGGUCUUCAGUGCAAAGUUGUUGUUCAGUUUGAAAAAUACAGGGAUUUCUAUAAUGCCCUGAAGGUGUUGUGUGGUCGCUCGCUACAAAAGCAAGGAUCACGUUUGAAGGCUGAUUAUGAGGUAACUUGGGAUAGGAAUGGCUUUUUCCGGAAUGCCAGGGAUCAUACACAAGAGAAUAAUAGUCGAAUGCCAGCAAUGUCAGUUGGACAAUAUGAAAGUGAAACUCCAAGGCAUCAACCUCGAGUUUCUCGAUUCAGUCCUGAGACAGUGCGCUCAAGGAGGUUCAAGGAAUAGGUCAUGGGCAGAAUAUUUCAGCAGUGUCUUGUGUAUUAAGAUGCGCUGAGUAAUGGUCGCUCUCCACUGGAUUAAACGGGUAGGACACGCCUUCUGCUCAAGUGAUGGAAUUCUUGUCAAUGCCUUUACAAUAGCUCUCAAGUCUCAGUUAUUUUCAGUUGAUCAGUAAUGUCUGCUGAUGCUGAUGCAUAUUGUUUUUAUGUCCAAUUGGUGUUGCUGUUUCGUCUUCUGUUGAUGCAAUUGUUUUCUCCAGGUGAUGGAUCGACCGGUUGAAGCAAUGCGUGAAGUGGGGAAUCUGUCAUAGUCCACCUUGCCCUCCUCCUCAUGAGAUGCUCUGAUCAUCCAGAAGUUUUAUUUAUUUGUUUUCACUCUUUUUUUCCAAUCAUCACCAAGAGUGUAGUGCAAAUUUAGUUUUAUGAUGGUUCUUGGUAAGGCUCAUUUCUAUGUUGAAAAUUAAUUUUAAAUUUUAUACUCGUAGUUGGCGUGGGCUUUCUCUCUCGCAAAUUUAUUAUAUUUUUUCUUUUAAAAUAAAAGUUAGUGAUAAUAUUUUUGAAUCCAA